rnacentral:rRNA from 1 species
GAUGAACGCUGGCGGCGUGCCUAAUACAUGCAAGUCGAGCGAACAGACGAGGAGCUUGCUCCUCUGACGUUAGCGGCGGACGGGUGAGUAACACGUGGAUAACCUACCUAUAAGACUGGGAUAACUUCGGGAAACCGGAGCUAAUACCGGAUAAUAUAUUGAACCGCAUGGUUCAAUAGUGAAAGACGGUUUUGCUGUCUCUUAUAGAUGGAUCCGCGCCGCAUUAGCUAGUUGGUAAGGUAACGGCUUACCAAGGCGACGAUGCGUAGCCGACCUGUGAGGGUGGUCGGCCACACUGGAACUGAAACACGGUCCAGACUCCUACGGGAGGCAGCAGUAGGGAAUCUUCGGCAAUAGGCGAAAGCCUGACGGAGCAACGCCGCGUGAGUGAUGAAGGUCUUCGGAUCGUAAAACUCUGUUAUUAGGGAAGAACAAAUGUGUAAGUAACUAUGCACGUCUUGACGGUACCUAAUCAGAAAGCCACGGCUAACUACGUG